AUUGAACGCUGGCGGCAGGCCUAACACAUGCAAGUCGAGCGGUAACAGGGGAGCUUGCUCCCGCUGACGAGCGGCGGACGGGUGAGUAAUACGCAGGAAUCUACCUGGUAGCGGGGGAUA
rnacentral:rRNA from 1 species